GCGCCCCUAGCUCAGGGGGUAGAGCGGCCGACUUUUAAUCGGCGGGUCGGGGGUUCGAAUCCCCCGGGGCGCA
rfam:Rhodospirillum photometricum DSM 122 draft genome sequence